UGCGUAGGUGGAUAAUCAAGUCAAAGGUGAAAGCCCUGGGCUCAACCUGGGAAUUGCCUGUGGAACUGAUUGUCUAGAGUAGAGUAGAGGGGAGUGGAAUUUCCGGUGUAGCGGUGAAAUGCGUAGAGAUCGGAAGGAACACCAGUGGCGAAGGCGGCUCUCUGGACUCAUACUGACACUGAGGCACGAAAGCGUGGUAGCAAACA
rnacentral:rRNA from 1 species